UUAGCAAUCUGCCCUUCUCAUCGGAAUAAGCGUUGGAAACGACGUCUAAUGCCGAAUACGACCUCCUUUCGCAUGAUCGGAGGUGGAAAGCUCCGGCGGAGAAGGAUGAGCUCGCGGCCUAUCAGCUAGUUGGUGUGGGUAAUGGCCCACAAGGCGACGACGGGUAGCCGGCCUGAGGAGGGUGACCCGGCCACACUGGGACUGAGACACGGCCCAGACCUCCGUACGGGAGGNAG
rnacentral:rRNA from 1 species